UGAGAUGCAGUUUUCAAUUUUUCAAAAGAAAAAUAAAAUUUCCCAGACCCCUAAAAAAAAAAAGGUUCCAUAGAUUCAGGUUAAGAACCCCUGAUCUAGAUGGACCCCACUUUCACCCACCUUCUCUUCUGCCUUCGGAGGGGGAAGUCAGUGGUGCCCCUGGUAUCUGGGAAAGCAAUGCUCAGGAGCCCCUCAGUGCUGAUGGUGCUGAGUCAGCUGGGAAGGAGUUUGGAGCUGAAGCUGGCCAGGCCCCUGCACCACAUGGUCACUAUGGCCAAGCAGGUACCGGCUCGCAGGCUGGAAGGCAUUGACCAGAACCCUUGGUUGGAGUUUUCGAAACUGGCCAACGAGAAUGAGGCUGUGAACUUGGGCCAGGGCUUCCCUGAUUUUGCACCUCCAAAAUUCGCCACAGAAGCAUUCAAACAAGCAGUCAGCGGAGACAUCAUGCUUAAUCAGUACACCGCCGCUUUUGGCCACCCUCCCUUGGUAAAGAUCCUGGCCAAGUUCUUUGGGAAAUUGCUGGAACAGGACUUGGAUCCCCAAAAGAAUGUGCUUGUGACAGUGGGUGCCUAUGGGGCCCUCUUUUAUGCCUUCCAGGCCCUGGUGGAUGAAGGAGAUGAGGUUAUUCUCAUUGAACCCUAUUUUGACUGCUAUGAGCCCAUGACAAAGAUGGCUGGUGGCUGUCCUGUGUUUGUGCCACUUCGACCGCCGUCAGCCUGUAAAGGGCAGUUGAUGUCCAGUGACGACUGGCAAUUAGAUCCAGCUGAGCUGGCCAGCAAGUUCACUCCCCGGACCAAGGUUAUUGUCAUCAAUUCACCCAACAACCCCUUGGGCAAGGUAUUCAGCAGGGCAGAACUGGAAAUUGUGGCAAAUCUGUGCAAAAAACACGAUGUCCUGUGUAUCAGUGAUGAGGUUUACCAGUGGCUGGUGUAUGACGGAAAGAAACAUAUCAGCAUAGCCACUCUUCCAGGAAUGUGGGAACGCACCUUGACUAUUGGCAGUGCAGGAAAAACCUUUAGUGUCACUGGUUGGAAGGUGGGCUGGGCCUUGGGACCAGAUCACCUUCUAAAACAUCUUCGGACUGUCCACCAGAACUCCUUAUAUCACUGUCCUACUCAGAGCCAGGAAGCUGUAUUUUCCAGUUUUGAGCAGGAACUAAAGGUCUUUGGUCAGCCCGAUAGCUACUUUGUCCAGCUGCCUGAGGCUACGCAGAAAAGUCGAGAUCACAUGAUUGAGAGCUUGCUGACUGUUGGAAUGAGGCCUGUUAUCCCCCAGGGCACCUACUUCCUCAUUGCAGACAUCUCUACCUUCAAGGAGAAGAUGCCCGACCUUCCUGGCUCCGAGGGGGAAGCCUACGACUCCCGCUUCAUCAAAUGGAUGAUUAAGAACAAGGGCUUGGUGGCGAUUCCAGUCUCAGCAUUCUACAGCUCUGAGCAGAAGCAGCAUUUUGACCACUACAUCAGAUUCUGCUAUGUGAAGAGUGACUCCACUAUCAAGGCCAUGGAUGAUAAGCUACAGCAGUGGAAGACAGAGCUCAAAGGCUGAUUUCUGCACCUAGGUCUCUCCCAUCCCCCUCCCCAUUCUACUUGAUUGGGCCCUUCCCCUUCUCUCCAUCCAUCCUUUGUGCUUCAGUGGGAUUUCCUUCCCCACUUGGAAAACCUGAAUCAGCCACCUCCUACUGAGGCAUGAAUGCCAACCAGGCCAGAAGUCACCUGCGGUUUAUAAGGACACCUGAUGGCUUAUUUUCAUGCCUCCUGGGUCACGUGUUGAUAUAACUGCUAGCUUCUUCCUUGGUUUUUCUUUUCCUCUUUUCACUUUUAAGGGCUGGCACAACAUUGUAAAGGGUCAACGGUCAAGUUGCCUUGCACAUCCAGCCAAUCACAGCCUUGAAAAGAUCCCUUUAGACUUGAAUCAAGAAUGUUUACUUCAAGCCAAGAGCCAUAUUUUUCUCUUAAUAAAGUUAUUGCACUCUA